rnacentral:rRNA from 1 species
CCUACGGGAGGCAGCAGUGGGGAAUAUUGGGCAAUGGGCGCAAGCCUGACCCAGCAACGCCGCGUGAAGGAAGAAGGCUUUCGGGUUGUAAACCUCUUUUCUGAGGGACGAAGAAAGUGACGGUACCCCAGGAAUAAGCCACGGCUAACUACGUGCCAGCAGCCGCGGUAAUACGUAGGUGGCAAGCGUUAUCCGGAUUUAUUGGGUGUAAAGGGCGUGUAGGCGGGAAAGCAAGUCAGAUGGGAAAACUCAGGGCUCAACCCUGAGCCUGCAUUUGAAACUGUUUUUCUUGAGUGCUGGAGAGGCAAUCGGAAUUCCGUGUGUAGCGGUGAAAUGCGUAGAUAUACGGAAGAACACCAGUGGCGAAGGCGGAUUGCUGGACAGUCACUGACGCUGAGGCGCGAAAGCGUGGGGAGCAAACAGGAUUAGAUACCCGUGUAGUC